AUGCUCCUCCGGACUCCACCGCAGCGGAAGCGGCGGGCCGUCCCCGACGCCGACCCCGACGCCAACCUCGACCUCGACCUCGCCGCCGCCGUCGCCGUCGCCACCGGACGGACCCCCGUCUCCGACCGCCGCCUCGUGCCCUACGACCGCCCCACGGCCCUCGUGUCCGCCUCCGGCGCCGAGGAGCCCUCCGACGACAUGGUCUGCACAUACCACUGCCGUCAGAUGGUGAAAUCGGAGUUCGUGGUGGCACUGGACACCGCGGAGAAGGCGGUUCAGGAGUAUCGAGUAAAGCUUGACACAUUGGAGAAACAGUUAUCCAAGAGUGAGGAUGAAAGGACUACAUAUCAUGAUAAACUGAACUAUGUCGAACAAGAACUAGCAGCAACAAAAGGGCGGGAGACUGCAUUGCAAGAACGGUUAUUGAAGGAGCUGGGCGAGUAUCAGGAACGAUACCGACAGCAAGUCAGGAAGAUAGGGGAACUUGAGGUUAAACUCAAUAAAGAGAUUGAUUCUCGAAUUAGCGCCGAAUCAUCUUCAGCAUCUGCACAGGAGUCGGUCAAGGAGUUGGAACGGGCUAUGCAGCGGUCAUCUGAAAAUUCAGAAAGGGAGAAGAAAGCCCUUCAGAAGGAACUUUCAUAUAUGCAAGAUGACUCAAAACUAUCCAUCUCUAAACUUAAUGCUGAGCUUGAAAGAAUGAGCCUCAGGGCGCAAAACUCUGAGAAGGAAGCAAAGAUGUUAAAUGAGCAGUUGGAGGACUUGAAAAAGCAAUUAAAUGAGUGUCUUCGCGAAAAGAACGAAACCGAGCUCAGACUACUGGAUUCUGCUCCUUUGUCUGUUCAGCGUAAUCCAACAGAUGAUCAGAAGUUAAUAAAACUUUUGCAAGAGGAGCUCCGGAACUAUGAAAAAGAAGUGCACGAAGCUAGAAGAUUAAAAUCUUCCCACACAAAUGUUGAGCUGCUAAGUGAAAAGCUGUUGGAGGAGCAGAGUCGAAGGAAACGAGCCGAAACAGAACUAUCUAAGCUGCAAGAAAUUGAAGCUAAAGCACAUAAGUUGGAGCUGGAAUUAGCAUCAUGUACAUCAUUACUUGGCAACAUACCUGAUGUGUCUUCUUACAGCAACAUUGCAGAUUUGCAAAGGCAAGCAUUGACAGACUUGAAUAAAUUGGGUGAAGUAACAUCACGGUUGAAAGAAUUGGAGGUUACGUUGGAAUUUGCUGAGAUCAGCAAGCAACGUGCAGAAGGUGAAGCUACCCUUGCCAAAGAGAGAGCUGAAAGUGCUAGCAGGGAGGUCAAGCGGCUUGAACUUCUGCUUACUGCAGUGAGUGAAGAAAGAGAUAGAUUACGAAAAGAUCAUAAUAUGUUAUCUAACCAAAAAACUAGGGAUGGAGAUGACAUGUCAUCCAAGAAAAUGGAGUCAGAUCUAUCUCAAAUGGAAAAGGUAGUAAGAGAACUAGAGACCACUCUACACGAGCAGAGAGAACUAAUUAGUCAACAACAUGCGGAGCUCAAUCUAAUGAAUGAGAAAUUGAGCAUUGAAGCAAGAAAAGCAAAAUCAUUGGAGCGAGAGGGAGAUCAACUGCGCUCUCAGGUGGCAUUACUCGAGUCUAAGCUGGGUCAUGGGGAUUACUCUGCCUCAAGCACAAAAGUACUUCGUAUGGUGAAUACUCUUGCAAUGGAUAGUGAAGCAAAGCAGACAAUAGAAGCACUGCAAGCUGAGUUAAAGAAAACAAAAGAGAGGCUGCAGGCAAUCGAAGAACUAAAAGGGCAAGCUGAUGCUGGAACUGUAGUAGAUGCAAAUGUUGCUGAAAAGCUAGCACAGCUUAAAAAUCAAGUUGCCACACUAGAGAAACGUGAAGAAAGAUACAAGGCAGUGUUUCUGGAGAGGAUCUCAGUCUUCCGAAAGGCUUGCUGCUCGCUUUUUGGUUACCAGAUAGUGAUGAAUGAUGAGCAGCAGCCAAAUGGGAUUCAUGUAACACGAUUUACUCUGCAAUCAGUAUAUGCCCAAACUGAUGAUGAAAAACUCGAGUUUCUCUAUGAAUCAGGAAGCACCAAUAUAGUGGUCAAUGGCUACACUUCUCAACACGAGAUUGCUCAGCAGGUAUGCUUCGAUCUAAAGAAUGUUUGUAGGUACGAUGCUUUACCCGUAGAUGGAAAAGAAUAUCCCCUUGCAGAAACUCAAAAGCUUACGUAUCAUCUUUGCAUUCUCUCAGCAUACCCGUCAAAUUGCAAUGUAUUGGCGGUUAACAGAAGUGUGCGCACGAAUCCUAUCAGAUCAUCUUUUUGGGGGAGGGAUUACUUGCAGUCGUAUGUUGAAGGAUUCAUUCAAAUUCCAGCAGAUGAAGAAGUUGAGUGGAAGGCUGGUGCUGGUGGUAUGGUACUAUCAGAUGGAUGCCAUUUUAGUUCGAACAAUGUAAAUACGAGCGCAUACAAUGUAAUCCCUGUGAGUUUGGUGAACUAG
rnacentral:rRNA from 1 species